GAUGAAGGACGUAGCGAAAUGCGAUAAGUAGUGUGAAUUGCAGAAUUCAGUGAAUCAUCGAAUCUUUGAACGCACAUUGCGCCCUUUGGUAUUCCAAAGGGCAUGCCUGUUCGAGCGUCAUUUGUACCCUCAAGCUUUGCUUGGUGUUGGGCGUCUUGUCUCUAGCUUUGCUGGAGACUCGCCUUAAAGUAAUUGGCAGCCGGCCUACUGGUUUCGGAGCGCAGCACAAGUCGCACUCUCUAUCAGCAAAGGUCUAGCAUCCACUAAGCCUUUUUUUCAACUUUUGACCUCGGAUCAGGUAGGGAUACCCGCUGAACUUAAGCAUAUCAAUAAGCGGAGGA
rnacentral:misc_RNA from 1 species